AUACGUAGGGGGCGAGCGUUGUCCGGAAUGAUUGGGCGUAAAGGGCGCGUAGGCGGCGCGGUAAGUCUGGAGUGAAAGUCCUGCUUUCAAGGUGGGGAUUGCUUUGGAUACUGCCGCGCUUGAGUGCAGGAGAGGUUAUCGGAAUUCCCGGUGUAGCGGUGAAAUGCGUAGAGAUCGGGAGGAACACCAGUGGCGAAGGCGGGUAACUGGACUGCAACUGACGCUGAGGCGCGAAAGUGUGGGGAGCAAACAGGAUUAGAUACCCUGGUAGUCCACGCGGUAAACGAUGAAUGCUAGGUGUUGCGGGUAUCGACCCCUGCAGUGCCGGAGUAAACACAAUAAGCAUUCCGCCUGGGGAGUACGGCCGCAAGGUUGAAACUCAAAUGAAUUGACGGGG
rnacentral:rRNA from 1 species